CCUACGGGAGGCAGCAGUGAGGAAUAUUGGUCAAUGGGCGCGAGCCUGAACCAGCCAAGUAGCGUGAAUGAUGACUGCCCUACGGGUUGUAAACUUAUUUUAUAAAGGAAUAAAGUGAGGCACGUGUGCCUUUUUGUCUGUACUUUAUGAAUAAGGAUCGGCUAACUCCGUGCCAGCAGCCGCGGUAAUACGGAGGAUCCGAGCGUUAUCCGGAUUUAAUGGGUUUAAAGGGAGCGUAGAUGGGUGGUUAAGUCAGUAGUGAAAGUUUGCGGCUCAACCGUAAAAUUGCAAUUGAUACUGGCAGUCUUGAGUACAGGUGAGGUAGGCGGAAUUCGUGGUGUAGCGGUGAAAUGCGUAGAUAUCACGAAGAACUGCGAUGGCGAAGGCAGCUUACUAAACUGCCACUGACAUUGAGGCUCGAAAGUGUGGGUAUCAAACAGGAUUAGAUACCCGGGUAGUC
rnacentral:rRNA from 1 species